rnacentral:lncRNA from 1 species
GAUGAUAAUUUUAUUGCUAAUAACUAUCACCGACGAAAAUCUAGUAUUAGUGAUGAAUUUUUUACUUCACUAAUAUCCUGUUCUAUUGUAGUGUUGGAAUAAUUUGGAAAUUUGAAAGAUCCAUUUAGAACUUUUUAAAUUGGAGGAGAUGUCUCUAGGAUAAGACUUAAGUUAAGGGGUGUGCCCCUAUAGUUUUUUAUUUUUUUAUCUAUUUUGAGGAAAUAUGGCAUAUCCCUAGCUACCUUGCUUUUCUACAAGAGCCGAUGCCAGCAAUCCGAUAACAAUUCUAUGUGCUUGAUGCUAUUGGCAUGUUUCUCCGAAAAG